AUGUCCGUUGUUUUUCGUUUCCGCAGCUCAACGUUUCCAUCUCACUCAUUCAAUCGUGUCGCCUUCAAUCUCUGCUCACAAUGGUUCGCCUCUGUCUAUGAUUUCGUUCUCAGCUUCACCUCUUCCACGCCGCCAUCGACGAACUCAACCUUCGCUUCUUCACUUCAAACGGCAUUUAGGAAUGAAGAAUGUUGA